CAAGAAAAGAAUAUUGUCAAAGCGCGAGUGGUAUCCAGCAGCAGCAAAGCAAAAGUCGCGGGACUACGAUAACUGAAGCUAGGUCGGCCACUGGGGCCAAGAUUGACGGAUUUGGCGCCUAGCAAUUUGGGCUGGCGAAGCAGCGGCGCUCCAAGCAGCUGAUCCGUCGCAGCACAGAGCGAGGGAGCAGAGACGCAGAAAAAAUUCAGAGAGGCUCGACCUUCGCGGGCAGCCGGAUCGACGUCGGUGAGGCGGCGGCCACAAAGCGGGACGGUCGAUAAUCCGCGAUAGCGGAAAGUUCAGCACCGGCGAAAUACGAACGGAGAAAAAGGAGGAAAAUAGCGCAAAUCCUACCUAAACGUGCCGUAUGGCAAAUACAGUUAACAAGGCCCAAUUAAGAUCCGCAGCACAUAGGGAAGGAAAGAGUUAGUGUGUUGUUGGAGUUCAAUACUCAGAGCUGCAAGGGUAAUGCC